UGGCAGAAGCAAAGCUAAAUGCUGGCGUGACUGGUCAGGGGCCGUGUCACAUUGAACUUCAUGUGUUCGCGUAGCGAAGAAAAACAACCGUCCUCCUUUCAGCAGCAAAAAAUCUACUUGUCACUGUUCUAGUGACCUCUGCAAAAUGCUGUGUAAAAGUAGGUGCAUUUAAUUGUCCGUUUCUUUCUUGCAGGGGGUUUCGAUUUUUACCAUGAUUAACUUGAUGGUUUUGCAUAUACAUUUUGUCCACACAGAGCUACCACUGAAACAUUCCCUCACGAUAAUAUUAAUCACUCAGCGUUCAUGCAGCUUGUAGCUACACCACUAAGUUGAAAUAUGUGGUUAAUAUUCAGUAAGCUAUAUGGAAGACAGUAUUUUUAAACGUUAUAGAAGCGAAAUGAGAACUAUAGUAGAUUUUUUGUUCAGAUCCGGCAACAGUGGUUGCCAAAGCAAAACGGUAUUGUUGUGACGACCGAAACUAGGACACUCCUCCCCAAAUGGGUUGUGAUCCCGAGCCGACUACGGGAUGAAUGAACGCAGGAUGAAUUGGACAAACAGGAAUUAUGGGUAAAAAGUAUAUUUCACACUGACCACAGCAAAGAACCCAUUCACGAAAACACGCGAAGAAAUGGAAUGGGCUGAAAUCAUUUUUCCUCUAACCACAGACUCUCUUUUAACAAUAGACUUUGAGUUGACAAACUGUAUACAGCCUACUGAAUAACUUAACCUAGUCGUAUCACCUCUUCUUCUUAGUUAUAUAAGUUUAAAUUACUUUGACGUCAACCAGCUCUGACAUACAACAGCAAUGUAACUAAAAAAAAUGAUUUUAAUAUCCGAAGAGAUAGACGAAUUGCAUUGAUAAUCUAUAACCCUAGACAUUACCAAAUCGCUGCUUUGUAUCUUAGGUUUGACCCCUUAAGAUCUGUGAUCAGCUCUGUGCAAAAUAAAUAAGCAUGAAGGCAAUCAGUGUCUUCACUUUGAAAUAAUUGCUUAAACCUCCACAAAAAAAAAAAAAAAACAUCUUCUGCAACCAAAUUCAGACAUGGCCAGCAUUGCCGGUGUGAGAGUUUCUGAAGGUGUUUUCUUUCACAUACAUAUCUUUCAGCGUUUUUCUCAGGACAACUAUUUGUAGAAUGUGCCCAGUAAAAUCAAAUGGGAUGUAGCCUGCCGGGUACUGUAGUCUUCCUACAGUAAUAACCUGGAGCAUUCCUGCAUGAACUAACAUACAAAUCCAUAAGAUUGAGCUUCUGUAGUUUUGCACCUUUUCCACCUCUCUCAGUGUACGAUCAUUAUUUUCUGAUGCUAUAGGCUAUAUAUGAGUUGCUGUUGGUUUUCUUUGUGAAUAUUAUUGCCGGACUCAAAUCAACUUGGAAUGGUACAAUGUAGAAUAGGGGAGGAGCCUGGAUCUAGUGCACAUAGAAUUGGGAAGGGGCCUGGAUCUAUUGUGUACAUAAUUCAGUUUGACUAAUUUUCAUUUCUUUGGAGUUUGAUGCGUUCAGGGCAGAAAAUGCAGCUUUCAGCUGUGACAUAAAUGUCAUUCACCCAAAUUAAACAAAAUAACAGCUUGGCCAGGAGAGUAGCAAAUUUGGGUCAAAAAACUGGAGUAAAGUUGCAGGUUUUGGCCCGUAGGUAUGAGUGUGCGAGUGAACGGUGUGUGUGCCCUGCAAUAGAUUGGCGACGCAUCCAGGGUGUAUUCCUACCUCUCGCCCAAUGCACGCUGGGAUAGGCUCCAGCGCCCCCCGCGAUCCUGCUCAGGAUAAGCAGCUAUAGAUAUUGGAUGGAUGGAACUUGUGCUUACACCAAAAGACUCCAAUCAUAUUGAAUGUGUAAGAAAAAUGAUGAUGGCUGCGAACUGCCUUGCUAUAUAUUUGUCUUGUCCUGCAGUUUGCCUUUACAUUUCAGAAGGUUCCUCCUGCAGCCUGAAUAGAGGAUGAGGAGGAGACGCCACUCUUCCCAAUGGACCCUUCUGUGAUGUCAGUGCGCUGUCUCCCUCUUCACCAAGUGAACGCACGCGACUGCUGUGAGAGUCAUCGUUCAACCUGAGCUGUAUUUAUGAUUGACAUGGCGUAGAUGCAGAAUUUCUUUCAACUGCAUUCAUACGGCUUUGAAUGGACCACGUUUUUAAAUGUUAAGAUGUCAAAUACACAUAAAAACCUUAAUACGUGACAUUUUAAUCCGUUAAAUUAGCUUAACUGCAGUCGUAUGUUAUAACUAAUAAUGAAUAACUGAAGUAGAGCAUCAAUAUGAUGUCAAUCAUGGUUUUACAUUUUUUUAUAAUCUGCAUUAUCUUUCUAUAUGACAAGACUAGUACCAAAGAAUGAAUGUAUUGUUUCUGUGGAAAUAUUUUUUAUAGGUUACCUGCGGACCAUUUGUUUCAGUCGACUCUCAUGUGUGAGUAUAAAAUCCAGAGGUUUUCUUCAGCUAGUUUAAGAGAGGCGAUGGUGCUUCAGAUUCAACAUUGUGCUUUGAAGAGGACCCAGGCCUGGAUGUUAGUGAGCCACUUCGGUACUUCCUGUGGACGGUACUUCCUGUUGGGAAUGCUGCAGAUGAGACGGGAAGCUCUUGGGUGCGUGAAACACUCAGUGUGCCCACAACUGUACUCAGCCUGAAAGAGGAGAGGAUCAGAUGACUUAUCUAAAUAUACCACCCGAGACCUCUCCUCCUCCUCCUCCUCCUCUUCCUCCUCUCUGAGUGAACAACAGUCCACCUCUGGCAUGAGCCCAAAUGCACAGAAGCUCUCAUUUUAUUUUUCAUGUUCUGUCUCUUUCCGAGGCCUAAGUCUUACAUGCAGGAUGAUUCAACCAAAUUCCAGGGGUCAUGUUCUCUCUCGAAAGAACAAGGAAGCUUCUUCUUCUUCUUCUGCAUCUUCUAUUUCAAUAUUUUGCCUGCAAAGCGCUGCGUGUUCUGAGCAGAGAAUUUUUCCAUCAAAAGAACAUUUUCGUUUGGCAUGCCUGCAGAUCUGAAACGCCUCCUGGAUUUAUUGGACCAAACAAUGUCGCUGCCUGGAAUGGAGUCCACUGGUAUAAAGAGUGUUUUCUGAAACACCCAGAGCACCGA